AGUCGUAACAAGGUCUCCGUUGGUGAACCAGCGGAGGGAUCAUUACAGAGUUGCAAAACUCCCAAACCAUCGUGAACGCUACCAAUAUCGUUGCUUCGGCGGGCGGCGCGCCCGCGCCCUCAGCCCCCUCCGGGGGGCCCGCCGGAGACCCAACAAACUCUUGAAUUUUCGUGGCCUCUCUGAGUCUUCUGUACUGAAUAAGUCAAAACUUUCAACAACGGAUCUCUUGGUUCUGGCAUCGAUGAAGAACGCAGCGAAAUGCGAUAAGUAAUGUGAAUUGCAGAAUUCAGUGAAUCAUCGAAUCUUUGAACGCACAUUGCGCCCGCCAGUAUUCUGGCGGGCAUGCCUGUUCGAGCGUCAUUUCAACCAUCAAGCCCCCGGCUUGUGUUGGGGACCUGCGGCGCGCCCGCAGGCCCUGAAAACCAGUGGCGGGCUCGCUGACCACACCGAGCGUAGUAGCUUCUCUGUCUCGCUCAGGGCGUGCGGCGGGUUCCGGCCGUGAAACCCACCCCCCAAGGGGUACCCAAAGGUUGACCUCGGAUCAGGUAGGAAGACCCGCUGAACUUAAGCAUAUCAAUAA
rnacentral:misc_RNA from 1 species